rnacentral:rRNA from 1 species
CGGGAGGCAGCAGUAGGGAAUCUUCCGCAAUGGACGAAAGUCUGACGGAGCAACGCCGCGUGAGCGAUGAAGGCCUUCGGGUCGUAAAGCUCUGUUGUCAGGGAAGAACAAGUACCGGAGUAACUGCCGGUACCUUGACGGUACCUGACCAGAAAGCCACGGCUAACUACGUGCCAGCAGCCGCGGUAAUACGUAGGUGGCAAGCGUUGUCCGGAAUUAUUGGGCGUAAAGCGCGCGCAGGCGGUUCCUUAAGUCUGAUGUGAAAGCCCCCGGCUCAACCGGGGAGGGUCAUUGGAAACUGGGGAACUUGAGUGCAGAAGAGGAGAGCGGAAUUCCACGUGUAGCGGUGAAAUGCGUAGAGAUGUGGAGGAACACCAGUGGCGAAGGCGGCUCUCUGGUCUGUAACUGACGCUGAGGCGCGAAAGCGUGGGGAGCGAACAGGAUUAGAUACCCUGGUAGUCCACGCCGUAAACGAUGAGUGCUAAGUGUUAGAGGGUUUCCGCCCUUUAGUGCUGCAGCAAACGCAUUAAGCACUCCGCCUGGGGAGUACGGCCGCAAGGCUGAAACUCAAAGGAAUUGACGG